rnacentral:rRNA from 1 species
UACAGAGGUCUCAAGCGUUGUUCGGAUUCAUUGGGCGUAAAGGGUGCGUAGGUGGCGUGGUAAGUCGGGUGUGAAAUUUCGGAGCUUAACUCCGAAACUGCAUUCGAUACUGCCGUGCUUGAGGACUGGAGAGGAGACUGGAAUUUACGGUGUAGCAGUGAAAUGCGUAGAGAUCGUAAGGAAGACCAGUGGCGAAGGCGGGUCUCUGGACAGUUCCUGACACUGAGGCACGAAGGCCAGGGGAGCAAACGGG